rnacentral:lncRNA from 1 species
GCAUUCUAUUUCACAUCAUCACAAGGAAGGAUGGACUUUUGCUCCUGUUGCCCAUGCUGGAGUACAAUGGUGCAAUCUCGGCUCACUGCAAACCUCCGCCUCCAGGUUCAAGCAAUUUUCGUGCCUCAGCCUCCCGAGUAGCUGGAAAUACAGGCAUGAACCACCAUGCCUGGCUAAUUUUUCUAUUUUUAGUGGAGACGGGGUUUCUCCGUGUUAGUCAGGCUGGUCUCGAACUCCCAAACUCAGGUGAUCUGCCCACUUUGGCCUCCGAAAGUGCUGGGAUUACAGGUAUGAGCCACCGCACCCAGCCAAAAUGACACACUUUUAAGUGGAAUAUCCAUGUCUAAAGCAACUAGCUCCUGAUAUAAAAUGGUAACGUCCAUGCCUACUUAUUUUAUCCUUAAUACAAGUCAGCCAUUUGUUCACAGUGGAAGCACAACUUCCUCAUACUAUGACCAGGCAUUCAUCCAAUGGGUCCUCAUGGGACGACACUAUGAUACAGAAAUAUACUAAAUGGAAGCCUUGGCUUUAUAAGUCUUUGUCUCCUAAUUUCUUCUAUACAGACUGUUGAAUUCACAGUACAAUUACAAUUCAAAAAA